rnacentral:rRNA from 1 species
GACGAACGCUGGCGGCGUGCUUAAUACAUGCAAGUCGAGCGGGAAUUGCUUAAGAUGCGGCUUCGGCCAAGACUUUUGUAAUUCUAGCGGCGGACGGGUGAGUAACGCGUGGGCAACCUGCCCUAUUGCCCGGGAUAACCCUCGGAAACGAGGGCUAAUACCGGAUGCGGUUACCGGGUCGCAUGGCCUGGUGACGAAAGGGUUUACUGCGAUAGGAUGGGCCCGCGUCCCAUUAGCUAGUUGGUAGGGUAACGGCCUACCAAGGCGACGAUGGGUAGCCGGCCUGAGAGGGUGGACGGCCACACUGGGACUGAGACACGGCCCAGACUCCUACGGGAGGCAGCAGUAGGGAAUCUUCGGCAAUGGGCGAAAAGCCUGACCGAGCGACGCCGCGUGGGGGAAGAAGGCUCUCGGGUCGUAAACCCCUGUCCUUGGGG